UCCAGGCCACUGAUGACGCUGAUUUUGUUAAAGGAUAAGUCAAGCCAGGUCAGGUUUGUCUGCAGGCGAGUUGGAGGACGGGGAUUAUUGCAAGCGUUAGUGGGUGGUAAGCGUAGCGCUUGUGCGGCGGAAGUGCGUACGGAGAGGGCAAGCCUGCACAAUUGUUUCUGUACGAGUCGGGAGGUUUUGGUUAAACUCGGUAUGGCGGGAGGCGGUGGUAAAGGAUACGGCACGCAGGAAGCUUUUAUACGGAUGGUAUGGGACACACGUGGACUUGGGCCGCCAUAGGCUAAACCCCCAAGUGAUGGAACGGAUACUGGGAAAUGCCUUGGGCCGGAUCCAUUGGGACAACGGUACCCCCUUUGGGCGCAGGACCGUGCAACCAGCUGCGUCGUCCUGCUGCUCUAACACAGGCCAGCACACCCCCAAUCCAGCGCCCGGCACACGGACUUGAUUCCCAUAUAACCGGCCCUACCAAGUGGGCCAGAUUUUCAAUUUUCUUGAUUUGAUUAUUGUCCAACUGAAGCUUUGUCAAGUUGUCCAACCCCCUCAAGUUGUCGAUGCAAGCCAGGUUCUUGAAGCUGAAUGCCAAGCACUCCACGUCCCGGAACGGCAUGCUGCGCUUCUUGUUGGCUGCUGUGUCGGGUUCCCCCCCUUGUAUCUACAGAAUUUUGCCAGAGCGCUUCCGCCAUGUGCCGAAAACAGCCGAAGCGAUAACAGAUCCAAAUCCCUACCUG
rnacentral:lncRNA from 1 species